AUGCAUCAUCUUUAUCACUCCAUGUGCCAUCAACGCGACAGUAUCGUGAAAACGUGCGAUAUCCAUUACUUGAGGUAUAUCCUCUUGGGCACUCAAAACGACAAUAUGAAUAAGCUUGCAUACGUUGGGUUAGACACCUCUUAUCAUGAACAGAAGCAUGCUGCACCGUUCUUAACGGUGGGCAAGUGAUAGCUAUAUUGUUAAAAAUACAAUGACAGUCAUUAAUUCUGUCACAGCAAAAAAUACCGGGUGGGCCCAAAAAGAAGGUACUCCUCUUUGAUCCAG